rnacentral:rRNA from 1 species
CCAAGGCGACGAUCGGUAGCCGGCCUGAGAGGGUGAUCGGCCACAUUGGGACUGAGAUACGGCCCAGACUCCUACGGGAGGCAGCAGUAGGGAAUAUUGCACAAUGGGGGAAACCCUUAUGCAGCAACGCCACGUGUGGGAAGAAGCAUUUCGGUGUGUAAACCACUGUCAUGAGGGAAUAAGGCCGGCCUCCGGGCGGAAUUGAAUGUACCUUGAGAGGAAGCACCGGCAAACUUCGUGCCAGCAGCCGCGGUAAUACGAGGGGUGCAAGCGUUGUUCGGAAUUACUGGGCGUAAAGGGAGCGUAGGCGGAGAUUCAAGCGGAUUGUACAAU